rnacentral:rRNA from 1 species
AUUGCCGUUGAAACUGUCCGGCUUGAGUAUAAAUGAAGCAGGCGGAAUGCGUGGUGUAGCGGUGAAAUGCUUAGAGAUCACGCAGAACUCCGAUUGCGAAGGCAGCUUGCUAAGCUACAACUGACGCUGAAGCACGAAAGCGUGGGUAUCAAACAGGAUUAGAUACCCUGGUAGUCCACGCUGUAAACGAUGAUUACUAGGAGUUUGCGAUAGACAGCAAGUUCUACAGCGAAAGCGUUAAGUAAUCCACCUGGGGAGUACGCCGGCAACGGUGAAACUCAAAGGAAUUGACGGGGGCCCGCACAAGCGGAGGAACAUGUGGUUUAAUUCGAUGAUACGCGAGGAACCUUACCCGGGAUUGAAA